UACGAGGGGGGCGAGCGUUGUUCGGAAUUAUUGGGCGUAAAGGGCGCGUAGGCGGUCGGAUAAGUCUUGUGUGAAAUCUUCGGGCUCAACUCGAAGUCUGCACAGGAAACUAUCUGGCUUGAGUGUGGGAGAGGUGAGUGGAACUGCGAGUGUAGAGGUGAAAUUCGUAGAUAUUCGCAAGAACACCAGUGGCGAAGGCGGCUCACUGGCCCGGUACUGACGCUGAGGCACGAAAGCGUGGGGAGCAAACAGG
rnacentral:rRNA from 1 species